rnacentral:rRNA from 1 species
AGAGUUUGAUCCUGGCUCAGAUUGAACGCUAGCGGGAUGCUUUACACAUGCAAGUCGAACGGCAGCCCGAGAGAGCUUGCUCUCUUGGUGGCGAGUGGCGGACGGGUGAGUAAUAUAUCGGAACGUGCCCAGUAGGGGGGGGAUAACUGACUAAAAAGUGUGACUAAUCCCUCAUACUCCGUACGGGUCAAAGGGGGGGAUCGUAAGACCUAUCGCUAUUGGAGCGGCCGAUAUCGGUUUACAUAGUAGGGGGCGUAAUGGCUCUACAAGGCAGGUAUCGGUAGAUGUUUUGAGAGGGCGACCAACCACCUGGUGUGUGAGACUCGCCCCACACUCUUGCGGGAGGCAGCAGUGGGGAAUUUUGCACAAUGGGGCAAACCGUGAUCCAGCCAUCCCGCGUGUAUCAUGAAGCCCUUCGGGUUGUAAAGUGCUUUUGGCAGAGAAGAAAAGACAUUCCUUAAUCCGGGAUGAUAAUGACGGUAUCCGCAGAAUAAGCCCCGGCUAACUUCGUGCCAGCAGCCGCGGUAAUACGUAGGGGGCAAGCGUUAAUCGGAAUUACUGGGCGUAAAGCGUGCGUAGGCGGUUCGGAAAGUCAGAGGUGAAAUCCCAGGGCUCAACCUUGGAACUGCAUUUUUUACUGCCGAUCUAGAGUAUGUCAGAGGGAGGUGGAAUUCCGAGUGUAGCAGUGAAAUUCGUAGAUAUGCGGAGGAACACCGAUGGCGAAGGCAGCCUCCUGGGAUAAUACUGACGCUCAGGCGCGAAAGCGUGGGGAGCAAACAGGAUUAGAUACCCUGGUAGUCCACGCCGUAAACGAUGUCAACUAGCUGUUGGGCCCCUUAGACCUUAGUAGCGCAGCUAACGCGUGAAG